rnacentral:tRNA from 1 species
GCUAGCGUAGCUUAAAUCAAAGCAUGACACUGAAAAUGUCAAGACAAACCCUAGAAACGUUUCGCAGGCA